rnacentral:tmRNA from 2 species
GGGGACGACAUGGCUUCGACGCUGGUCGUGAAACCUUGGGUGCAUGUCGAGUUCUGUUGCAAAUCUCGUAAAUUAGUUGCUUCAAUUUAAAAUAGUUGCAGAAAAUGUACCUAUGAAUGAUGCUGAUUGGGGUACUGCUUCUCUAGCUGCGUAAGCAGUUAGGGUCAACAGACCAAUCGAGAUGGCUUAAUAACCCAUCUCCAUCCAGUCUCCCUUGUUUGCCCGUAGGCGAGGAAACAGACUGUCAUAUUAUACAGGGAUCGCUUUGAUGACAGCUCAGGACAUCAUCGCUAAAUUUAACUGAGAUCGCCUUAAGACAACCCUGCUAGUUGGGUCGUCUGUAGGUUAACUUAAUAAACUAGCUAAGCAUGUAGAGCUCCUGGCGUAGCAUUAGCGGACGCGGGUUCGAUUCCCGCCGUCUCCACCA